rnacentral:siRNA from 1 species
AGGCUUGAGUGUUAGACCUCCCA